rnacentral:rRNA from 1 species
CCUACGGGGUGCAGCAGUCGAGAAUCAUUCACAAUGGGGGAAACCCUGAUGGUGCGACGCCGCGUGGGGGAAUGAAGGUCUUCGGAUUGUAAACCCCUGUCAUGUGGGAGCAAAUCAAAAAGAUAGUACCACAAGAGGAAGAGACGGCUAAUUCUGUGCCAGCAGCCGCGGUAAUACAGAGGUCUCAAGCGUUGUUCGGAAUCACUGGGCGUAAAGUGUGCGUAGGCUGUUUCGUAAGUCGUGUGUGAAAGGCGCGGGCUCAACCCGCGGACGGCACAUGAUACUGGGAGACUAGAGUAAUGUAGAGGGAACCGGAAUUCGCGGUGUAGCAGUGAAAUGCGUAGAUAUCGAGAAGAACACUCGUGGCGAAGGCAGGUUCCUGGACAUUAACUGACGCUGAGGCACGAAGGCCAGGGGAGCGAAAGGGAUUAGAUACCCCUGUAGUC